AUGAGAGAGGCAGAGUCCUCCGAUGAUGGCCAGCGUAAGCGGUGGGAAGCCCAUCGCUAUGUUGCUCCGGCACAAGCUGCAACAGAUGUAGCAGUGCAGGAAGAGGACGACGAUGACUUGCAGAUAGUUGCGCCACUUGCAGAGCAGGCUUGCCGCCGUCCCCCUCCCAUCAUCGUCAUCGACGAAGAUGAUGAAGAGGAGGAAAUGCAGAAGCAGUCAAAUCCAAGGCAGAUCAAGCAAAUCAAGCGUCGCUCUGCAUGCUUAGCAAAUCCUAAAGAUGAGAAGUAG
rnacentral:rRNA from 1 species